rnacentral:tRNA from 1 species
GAGCCUGUAGCACAGUGGAUAGGGCAACGGCCUUCUAAGCCGUAGGUCGGGGGUUCGAAUCCCUCCAGGCUCGCCA